rnacentral:rRNA from 1 species
AGCAGUCGCCGCGGUAAUACAGAGGGUGCGAGCGUUAAUCGGAUUUACUGGGCGUAAAGCGUGCGUAGGCGGCUUCUUAAGUCGGAUGUGAAAUCCCUGAGCUUAACUUAGGAAUUGCAUUCGAUACUGGGAAGCUAGAGUAUGGGAGAGGAUGGUAGAAUUCCAGGUGUAGCGGUGAAAUGCGUAGAGAUCUGGAGGAAUACCGAUGGCGAAGGCAGCCAUCUGGCCUAAUACUGACGCUGAGGUACGAAAGCAUGGGGAGCAAACAGGAUUAGAGACCCGAGUAGUCCCUGUCUCUUAUAC